rnacentral:rRNA from 1 species
GACGAACGCUGGCGGCGUGCCUAAUACAUGCAAGUAGAACGCACAGUUUAUACCGUAGCUUGCUACACCAUAGACUGUGAGUUGCGAACGGGUGAGUAACGCGUAGGUAACCUGCCUGGUAGCGGGGGAUAACUAUUGGAAACGAUAGCUAAUACCGCAUAAUAUUGAUUAUUGCAUGAUAAUUGAUUGAAAGAUGCUAUUGCAUCACUACCAGAUGGACCUGCGUUGUAUUAGCUAGUAGGUGAGGUAACGGCUCACCUAGGCGACGAUACAUAGCCGACCUGAGAGGGUGAUCGGCCACACUGGGACUGAGACACGGCCCAGACUCCUACGGGAGGCAGCAGUAGGGAAUCUUCGGCAAUGGACGAAAGUCUGACCGAGCAACGCCGCGUGAGUGAAGAAGGUUGUCGGAUCGUAAAGCUCGGUUGUAAGAGAAGAACGGGUGUGAGAGUGGAAAGUUCACACUGUGACGGUAUCUUACCAGAAAGGGACGGCUAACUACGUG